rnacentral:antisense_RNA from 1 species
AGUGGGAGCUGGCUUGCCAGCGAUGAGGCCGGCACAUUCGAUAUCAAUGUUGACUGACAGGUCGCCAUCGCUGGCAAGCCAGCUCCCACA